GACGAACGCUGGCGGCGUGCCUAAUACAUGCAAGUAGAACGCACAGUUUAUACCGUAGCUUGCUACACCAUAGACUGUGAGUUGCGAACGGGUGAGUAACGCGUAGGUAACCUGCCUGGUAGCGGGGGAUAACUAUUGGAAACGAUAGCUAAUACCGCAUAAUAUUAAUUAUUGCAUGAUAAUUGAUUGAAAGAUGCAACUGCAUCACUACCAGAUGGACCUGCGUUGUAUUAGCUAGUAGGUGAGGUAACGGCUCACCUAGGCGACGAUACAUAGCCGACCUGAGAGGGUGAUCGGCCACACUGGGACUGAGACACGGCCCAGACUCCUACGGGAGGCAGCAGUAGGGAAUCUUCGGCAAUGGACGAAAGUCUGACCGAGCAACGCCGCGUGAGUGAAGAAGGUUUUCGGAUCGUAAAGCUCUGUUGUAAGAGAAGGACGGGUGUGAGAGUGGAAAGUUCACACUGUGACGGUAUCUUACCAGAAAGGGACGGCUAACUACGUG
rnacentral:rRNA from 1 species